ensembl:lncRNA
AUGUGUGUCUCGUUUCACCCGUUCAGAAGCGACAGCCACAAGAAGAGCAAAAAGGAGAAGAAGAGCAAAAAGGAGAAGAAGAGGAAAAAGGAGAAGAAGCAGCGGCGCAGGAGAGGCGCGUCCUCCGACCGUGACUCUGAGUCCGACACCGACAGUAAGAGACUCAGACUGGACCGUAGUGACCGCCGCGGUGUUCAUCCAUCACGCUGCAGUCAGAGUGGAGCCGCCACUCCUGACAGCCAUUCAGCUUGGGGUUCAAAGGUCAACCGCAGGAGCCCCUCCCCUCCCUCUCAGGACCGCCCCCGCCGAUGCAGCCCCGCCCCCUCGCCCAGACCCCGCCGACGCCACGACUCCGAUUCAUCCUCGGAUGGGGUUCGCCAUGGCAACCGACAGUCUCCACUGCGGAGACGGCGUCACGACACGGACUCGGACGACUGACGGCCAAUCGGCCGCCGGUUCACCGUCUCAGCCAAUCAGAGAGCAGCGACAUGUUUACUGACCAUCUGUCCAUUCAGCCGACAGCGGUUUAGCCCCGCCCACUCACACUGACCUUUAUAAGGAGUAUUUCAGACCAGACUGCUUUUUUAAAUAAGGCACAGCCAAUCAGAGCAGAGCUCGUUUGCAUACGUCUUAAAGGCACAGUAACAGCCUGUUUAACUGUAAGGGAUAAAGAGAUGCUGGGAAUCUUCAUCUCUCUACGUCAUUUCAUCCACGUUAUUCAUUCCAUACAUCCAUCGACCAGAGAGAACGAGGCGGUCUGCGUCUCUGCUGAAGAGCGUUUUACUCGUUUUAACCCAGUUUGUGUUACUUUAAUAUGAUCAUGUUACAGAAGUCGGUCAGAAAGUUUCAGAACACAAGUGUCCACUCAGUUUACAGAUCAUCUGCAGAAUUAUCGGGUUCAGACGUAAUCAGAGCGGUUCCGAGCUGUUCGGUGUGAAACGCCCUGUUCUAGAUAAACUGACCGAGUCACAGCCGUUCACAGUGGUGGUGAUGGGAACCAGACGUCCCUCUAAAAGCUCCUCACAGUGGUGGUGAUGGGAACCAGACGUCCCUCUAAAAGCUCCUACAGAAAGUUCCUACAUGAGCUGGUUCUGAAUUCACUGCCUGAUGACUGAGACGCUGUUUUAUGAGAGUUUAGAGAACUUCAAGAUGGUAAAUAAAGUGUCUGUAUCUGUGUUGUCGUCAUGGCGACGCCUGGUUCUCAUCACCACCACUGUAAAGACGUCUGAACCGUUUUGCUCCAAACCCUCUGGAUCUCUCUGAUUACACCUCACACACUGAGUUAUGUAUUAAAGUAAGUGGAAUUCCUCUUUCUGGCGGUGAAGGCGAGGCGAGGCGAGGCCGGGACUUGUCUGAUGUGAACUCUGAGGGGCUGAAGACGGUCAGGGUCCCGUCGGCCUGCUGUGUUUUGCCUUAAAGCAGGUCGGCGGGUUCUGUACCGACGCACUGGGCGGUUUUACGGCCGCCUGUAAGCGCCGUGUGAUUUCUCAGUGAAAUAAACGUAGACGCUGUGGUCAGUCAGACUGCCGAGGAGCUCCACCCUGCAGUGACCUCACGGGUCUUGACUGAUCAAGCUGUUUUUAAAGGACUCGUGCCAGAAAACUGAACUUUCCUCUGUUUAAAUAAAGGAGUUUGACCUGUAAACAUUGUUUAAAAUGUGCUCUUCACUCUGCAGCUCAUUUACACACACCGGUCAGACAGAGCAGUCUGACCACCUCACUGUCCACCUUAUCAGCUCCACUUACUGUAUAGCUGCACUCUGUAGUUCUACAGUUACAGACUGUAGUCCAUCUGUUUCUCUGAUACUCUGUUACCCUGUUCUUCAGUGGUCAGGACCCCCAUGGACCCUCACAGAGCAGGUACUGUUUGG